rnacentral:rRNA from 1 species
UGGGGAAUUUUGGACAAUGGGCGAAAGCCUGAUCCAGCAAUGCCGCGUGUGUGAAGAAGGCCUUCGGGUUGUAAAGCACUUUUGUCCGGAAAGAAAUCCUUGGCUCUAAUACAGUCGGGGGAUGACGGUACCGGAAGAAUAAGCACCGGCUAACUACGUGCCAGCAGCCGCGGUAAUACGUAGGGUGCAAGCGUUAAUCGGAAUUACUGGGCGUAAAGCGCGCGCAGGCGGUUUGCUAAGACCGAUGUGAAAUCCCCGGGCUCAACCUGGGAACUGCAUUGGUGACUGGCAGGCUAGAGUAUGGCAGAGGGGGGUAGAAUUCCACGUGUAGCAGUGAAAUGCGUAGAGAUGUGGAGGAAUACCGAUGGCGAAGGCAGCCCCCUGGCCAAGUACUGACGCUCAUGCACGAAAGCGU